UGGUUAGAGUGUAGGGAUGGCAGGUAGCCUAGUGGUUAGAGUGUAGGGAUGGCAGGUAGCCUAGUGGUUAGAGUGUAGGGAUGGCAGGUAGCCUAGUGGUUAGAGUGUAGGGAUGGCAGGUAGCCUAGUGGUUAGAGUGUAGGGAUGGCAGGUAGCCUAGUGGUUAGAGUGUAGGGAUGGCAGGUAGCCUAGUGGUUAGAGUGUAGGGAUGGCAGGUAGCCUAGUGGUUAGAGUGUAGGGGCCUAGUGGUUAGAGGGGAGGCAGGUAGCCUAGUGGUUAGAGGGGAGGCAGGUAGCCUAGUGGUUAGAGGGGAGGCAGGUAGCCUAGUGGUUAGAGGGGUGGCAGGUAGCCUAGUGGUUAGAGGGGAGGCAGGUAGCCUAGUGGUUAGAGGGGAGGCAGGUAGCCUAGUGGUUAGAGGGGAGGCAGGUAGCCUAGUGGUUAGAGGGGUGGCAGGUAGCCUAGUGGUUAGAGGGGAGGCAGGUAGCCUAGUGGUUAGAGGGGAGGCAGGUAGCCUAGUGGUUAGAGGGGAGGCAGG